UGGAGGAUUGAGAAGGUUGAACAGCUUGUACUGUGCUGUUAGAACUGGUUACAACCUCCAAGAAUAACAAACAACACAAUAUGGUAGUUCUGUGGUUCACAGAACUGAAAAGGUGCUUGUUAACAUAAA